UCCAGGGUAGCCUAGUGGACAUGGCAUCUGCCCGGUAAGCGGAACACUAUGGGUUCAAUUCCUAUCCCUAGAC